GACUCGGUGGUGGAUGGACCGCGUCUGCGCUCGUUGUCACGUUUGGAUAUAAUUUACGCAGAAGGUGCCUGUUCGAUUCAGGCUCGAGUCA